rnacentral:rRNA from 1 species
CCUACGGGUGGCAGCAGUGGGGAAUAUUGCACAAUGGGGGAAACCCUGAUGCAGCGACGCCGCGUGAGUGAAGAAGUAAUUCGUUAUGUAAAGCUCUAUCAGCAGGGAAGAAAAUGACGGUACCUGAGUAAGAAGCCCCGGCUAACUACGUGCCAGCAGCCGCGGUAAUACGUAGGGGGCAAGCGUGAUCCGGAUUUACUGGGUGGAAAGGGAGCGUAGACGGAAGUGAAAGUCUGGAGUGAAAGGCGGGGGCUCAACCCCCGGACUGCUCUGGAAACUGUACGGCUGGAGUGCAGGAGAGGUAAGUGGAAUUCCUAGGGUAGCGGUGAAAUGCGUAGAUAUUAGGAGGAACACCAGUGGCGAAGGCGGCUUACUGGACUGUAACUGACGUUGAGGCUCGAAAGCGUGGGGAGCAAACAGGAUUAGAUACCCGGGUAGUC